GGUUCCUUAGCCAAGUGGUAAGGCAAUAGACUGCAACUCUGUGAUCGCCGGUUCAAAUCCGGCAGGAACCUCCA
rnacentral:tRNA from 1 species